AAUAUUGGACAAUGGGCGAAAGCCUGAUCCAGCCAUGCCGCGUGUGUGAAGAAGGACUUCGGAUUGUAAAGUACUUUAAGUUGGGAGGAAGGGCAGUAAGUUAAUACCUUGCUGUUUUGACGUUACCGACAGAUUAAGCAUCGGCUAACUUCGUGCCAGCAGCCGCGGUAAUACGAUGGGUGCAAGCGUUAAUCGGAAUUACUGGGCGUAAAGCGCGCGUAGGUGGUUUGUUAAGUUGGAAGUGAAAGCCCCGGGCUCAACCUGGGAACUGCUUUCAAAACUGGCAAGCUAGAGUACGGUAGAGGGUAGUGGAAUUUCCUGUGUAGCGGUGAAAUGCGUAGAUAUAGGAAGGAACAUCAGUGGCGAAGGCGACUACCUGGACUGAUACUGACACUGAGGUGCGAAAGCGUGGGGAGCAAACAGG
rnacentral:rRNA from 1 species